rnacentral:sRNA from 1 species
GCGACGCUCCGUCGUCGGGCUCGUUGCCGGCGCAACCAGGGAGGAAACCGCCGGCGUUGCUGUAGCGCGUCUGGGAAUUACACCGGGGUACUGGCCGGCCCGCUUCGUGCCUGCGGGAAGUCGGGCCGGGGGACUCUUCGGAAACUCCGAGCCUCAGAGAAAUAUGGAGCUCCCGACGCUGCCGUUCUACUGGUGCAGCCAGCAGCGCCUGAAUCAGCAGCUAGCACGACAGCGAGAGCAGGAGGCCCGGCUUCGGCAGCAGUGGGAGCAGAACAGCCGUUACUUCAGGAUGUCUGACAUCUGCAGCUCCAAACAGGCAGAGUGGAGCUCUAAAACCUCCUACCAGCGGAGCAUGCACGCCUAUCAGCGUGAGAAGAUGAAGGAGGAGAAGAGGAGGAGUCUGGAGGCCCGACGGGAAAAGCUCAGGCAGCUCAUGCGGGAGGAGCAGGACCUGCUGGCCAGAGAACUGGAGGAGCUGAGGCUGAGCAUGAACUUGCAGGAAAGAAGAAUCCGGGAGCAGCACAGGAAGCUGAAAUCAGCCAGAGAAGAGCAGAGGAAACUGAUUGCUGAACAACUUUUGUAUGAACACUGGAAAAAGAACAACCCGAAACUUCGAGAGGUGAAAAUCAGAGAUCUCCAUUGAUUUACCUAAGUAGAUGAAAUCAUGUUUCCAGACACUUUCUUUUUUAACACGUAUCUUGUACUGGGUUGAAACAGAGGAGGGAACCUUGAGCCACCUGAAAACAGCACCAGGCAGAAAAUCUGGCACAGGCUGCACUGAGUGGCUCAUUCAGUUGUUGAACAAACGUUGAUUGAACCUCUGCUGCCUGGUCUACCAGGUGGGGGUAUGGA